rnacentral:misc_RNA from 1 species
UCAAAUCCCCAACAGCCCAAGUAGAAAAUGCAAUUCAACAUAACACUCAUGACCAAAAGAAAAGAAACAUUAUAGCAGCCUCUCUAACAAACAAGGUAAUCGAUAAAUUUCUUUUUCUCUUUUUGGCCUUUUUUCUUCAUAUUUUAGCAUUAUUAUCAAACCAAUGAAUUUGUAGCCACGGAAAAAGUUGGAAAUUGCUUACGCUUCAAUGUACAAGUUGCAUAGAUGUUCAGCAAUGAAUGA